rnacentral:rRNA from 1 species
UACAGAGGGGGCAAGCGUUGUUCGGAAUUACUGGGCGUAAAGGGCGCGUAGGCGGCCUGCUAAGUCGAACGUGAAAUCCCUGGGCUCAACCCAGGAACUGCGUCCGAUACUGGUUGGCUUGAAUCCGGGAGAGGGAUGUGGAAUUCCAGGUGUAGCGGUGAAAUGCGUAGAUAUCGGGAGGAACACCGGUGGCGAAGGCGGUUCUCUGGGCCUGUACUGACGCUGAGGAGCGAAAGCGUGGGGAGCGAACAGG